rnacentral:lncRNA from 1 species
CCGGUCCUUAAUUUCCAUGAGUGUACCAGCACUUGUACAUCACAUUUUACAUGUUUAGCAAACAUGUAAAUGUCUAAGAUCUAGAUUUGGUCUUAAUAUAGAGCUCAUUUUUUUUUACCAUCGAAAAUAAUCCAUUCUAUUCAUUGUGGUCUUUUUUUUUACAGCCUAUUCAUUGUGGUCAAUACUACAGUACAUAAAAGAAAU